UGACAAUUGUAUUUUUCCAAC
rnacentral:piRNA from 1 species